rnacentral:rRNA from 1 species
UACGUAGGGGGCUAGCGUUGUCCGGAAUCAUUGGGCGUAAAGAGCGUGUAGGCGGCUUGGUAAGUCCGCUGUGAAAGUCCAGGGCUCAACCCUGGAAUGCCAGUGGAAACUGUCGAGCUAGAGUCCGGAAGAGGCGAGUGGAAUUCCUGGUGUAGCGGUGAAAUGCGCAGAUAUCAGGAGGAACACCAAUGGCGAAGGCAGCUCGCUGGGACGGUACUGACGCUGAGACGCGAAAGCGUGGGGAGCAAACAGG